CAACUUUUCUAACCCACUUUAGGAGCUCAUCCCGAGUACGAAAUAUCUACAAAAGUUAUCAUAACAAAUUAUUUCAUUUACUAAUUAACAAACAACUUAAACAUACUUUACAAACUUAACCUUACCUCAUCUGUAGUAAACGCAUUUAUACAUUCAUCAUCAUCCCACACAUCAACCCCAUCAUAUAAUUCUUGUUCAGUUUCUUGACUACUAUCCAUGCUUCUACAAACAAAACAAAAAAAACUAAAUCAUUGCUUUUCGGAUCCAUGAAUCCAUAAGUCAAAAAAAUCAUUCUAGAUCCACCAAUCCAUAAUUCAAAAAAACCAUUCCGGAUUCAGGAAUCCAUAACAAAAAAAAAACCAUUCCAGAUUCAGGAAUCCAUAACACAAAAAACACAAUUCCGGAUUCAGAAAUCCAUAAUGCAAUUUAAGCUUCCGGAUGCACCAAUCCGUAAUACAAUUCAGGCUUCCAGAUUCAGCAAUCCGGAAAACAACAAUCUAUGAUAAUUUUACUUCUGGAACACCCCCUCAUCCAGAAAACACAAUGUAAUUAAUUUCGGAUUCUUAAAUCUGGAAUAUAUUACCAGAUCCCGAUAUCCGGUAACCUCGAAAUCCCCAUAACCGCCAUGCCUUUUAAAAAAAACUGUAGUCUUACCUCUAACACCCAAACAAUACUUCGGCAACGUUCUGUAUUGCUCCACCUUGCUCUGAAUAAUUGCAAAGACUCCCAACAGUAGUUGAUAUUUCAGUGAUGAAGAUGAACUGCUACAAUGCAAGUCCGGGAGAGUGCCCUUUUCAAAUUAUAGGUCAAGGGUACAUUAGGAAUAUUUAGAAUUGUGGGGUGCAGGAAGAAAAACGUGGGGGUGCAGGAAGCAAAAGCCAUUAAUGUAUCAUGCUAAUAGUUAUAGUUCUUUUUACAUGUUUCAGUUGCAAUGUUUUUCCUUUGUUAUCGAUUUUGGUAUUAUUAUUGUACACAAUCAUGAUUGUUGAUUUUUUAUGAAAAAAAUAUAUUUGAAUACAAUUGUAAUAUCUUUAUUUUUUUUCAAUUUCAUCAUUAUUGAGCUUAACAUCACGGUUUUUACAAAAAAAAAUAUAGGAUGUUAACUUAUAGAUGAACGUUUUCUAUUAAAAUUGAGGGAUAUAAGUUCAGGAUAAAUUCUAAAGAUGAAAUUACAAAAUUGUAAAAGUAACUGUAUCAAAAUUGUAAAAUAAAUAAUUUAGUACUAUGAACACUACAAAAAAUCAUUAAAUAGUAACUAAAUUUAAUGACAAAAAAUAAUUAAUCAUUAUAUUGACUAAAUUAGAGAUAAUUUAGAGACUAAAAAUUAUUCACACUACAAGAAAAAAAGGUUUUAAUGGAGGUUAUUUAGCGGAGGUUAAUAUAACCUUAGGAAUUGAUUUAACUAAUGGAGGUUUUUUUCUAAAACCUCAACAAAAUAAUGGAGGUUUUUUAACCUUAGUUAAAUUCCAAAGGUUUAUUCUAAAACCUCAACAAAAUAACAGAAGUUUUUUUAACCUUCGUUAAUUUUCAAAGGUUUAUUCUAAAACUUCAACAAAAUAACGGAGAUUUUUUUAACCUUCGUUAAUUUUCAAAGGUUUAUUUUAAAACCUUUGCAAAUUAACGAAAGUUUUUUUAACCUUCGUUAAUUUACAAAGGUUUAUUUUAAAACCUCCACAAAGAUAACAGAGGUUUUUUAACCUUCGUUAAUUUCUAAAGUUUAUUUUAAAAUUUUCACAAAAUAAGGGAGAUUUUUUUAAUCUUAGUUAAUAUUUACAAAGGUUUAUUUUAAAAAUUCCGCAAAAUAACGGAGGUUUUCUUAACUUUAGUUAAUUUUUAAAGGUUUAUAACCUCUGCAAAAUAGCGGAGGUUUUUUAACCUUCGUUAAGUUCCAAAAAUUUAUUCUUAAAUAUUUAUUUUAUUAAAAUUAAUUAAUUAUUUAUUUAUUUUAUAUAGAUAUUUUCCUUAAAAUUUUACUAUAAGAAAAACUAGUAUUUUUAUCACUAAAAAAUUAUUUUAACAAAAAUUAUUUAUGAAAAUAUGAAUAUAAUCCACAUAUAAAUUUAAUAAAUAAAUAUUUUUUAAUUGUUAAAUUACUAAGGUUUUUCGUACAAACCUCAGUAAAAUACCUAAGGUUUUCUAAAACCUCCCUAAAUAAAUAUAAUUAAUUUUUUUUAUCUUCCUUAUACACUUAGUUUUCCACCACAUACUCACGACAUCUGCUAAGCCACACUUCCAUCAAAAAAGCCACAAAACCCAUUCUCCAUCUGCUGCUCCAGAGAAGCUCCGCCUUUGCUCCACCACGGAAUCGAUUCUCUACAAGGGAGAAACUCUCAACCUUCUCAUUUUAUCUCAUCUCCAUCUUUGUCUUUUCACAUUCUCGUUCUCUCUCCUUGUCGCUGAUGCCAAGUCAUAGCCGGAGCUUCUCCUCGCCGGAAAUAUCGCAACCUCCGUCGUCAAUGCCGCUCUUGCGACCUCUUCCUCAACGCAUUCUCCUUUGAUCCCUCCCUCCGGUCAGCAGCCAUCGCUGACCUCCGUGCCGCCCGCGAACGUGAAGCGUCUCCGCUUCACUUCUAAGUUUUAUCUAAUUCAGUUUAAUGUCCAUGCACAUCAUUAUUCAUUCAGAAAUCAUGUAUAUAUAAUUUGAGGCGAAGUUAGUGUUAAUAAACUUAUGGAAAAUAACAAUUUCUGGUUUGAUAAUUUACAAUUUGAUUUAGAAUUGGUUAAUGUUAAUAAACUUUAGAAGGAUGAUUAGGAAAACCAAAAUACUCACUGACCUUAAACUCUAACCUGGUGUCUCAUUUUGGCUCACCAAACUUUAAUGUAGUUGAAAUGGUCUAGCCUCAAGAAAAGAAAAGGCAACUAUGCAAACUAUUGAUAUGUUUCUUCUCUUGCAUCCCAUUCUAUAUAUAUUGAGAUAGUUACAUUCAUCGUGUAUUUUAUUCAUGAAAAACUUGCCCUCAUUUUCCAAUGCCUGUAGUUAGUUAUGUUGUCCGAUAUUUUAUUUUGUACUUUGCAGUUACUGCAUUGCAGUACAUUUACUUUGCAUUUAUUUUGUUUUAUGGGUUACUUUUUUGCACUUACUACAUUGUAGUGCCAGUGAUCUUGGUGCACUUCAGCAACUCUUGGUUGAUCAACCAAUGUCCAAACAGAGGAAGGUAUGCAAAAAUUAUCUGUGGGGUAAUAGAAGUUAUGUUUUGAUCAUUAAAAUAAAAAAUGUAUAUGCAUGUCAACGCCAUCAAUUUCAUCUAAUGAUUAUGAUAAUCAUUAGGAAUGUUGCACUUUGAAUUAGACCUCUCAAUGCUUCUGGGACCUCCUAUAUAAUCUUUAGAUCACUGUUGGAACAUUGUUAAUUUUUUCUUAUUUUGAAUUGAGCAUUGUUAAUGAAUAGAAUCUACUACUAUACUAUAUUUACAUAAGAAAUCUGGAUUGCUAUAUUUAGACAUUAUAAGAUGUCAAAUUUGAUUCAACAUUUUUAAAGUAAACUGGAGUUCGUUAAAUUGUUUUGUUUAAGAAAUCUAUAAACUAAAACUCUAAAAAUCUGGUGCUACCUUUUAUUCUGUUUUCAUUCUGGCAAUCACGUUUUGGACUUAUUAAUACUCCUUUACCCUUAAUAGCUUGGUAGGCAGGGCAUUAUGGUUUCAACUCAUUCUCUCUGAAACUAGAAAAAAAAAAUGGUGAAAGUUACAACUGUUAGAAAUGGAAGUCUCUUUCUUUCUCCACGCCACAAUCUGUUUUGGAUUUUAUUUGAAGGAAUUAAAAAAAAAAGUAUGAAAAGGUAUCAUAAUGGUAAUCUUUUAGGAAGUGCAAUAGCUGUGGAUCCACAUCCCAUGUGGAAUGCAAAUGUAAUACCCAAACUAAGAACACCCUUCUCUUUUUUGUACGUGCCCUUACAUUAGAUUUCCACUUGGAACUUCAUUGUGCUUUUGCCUUACCACACCUUCUUCGUACCACUUCAUUUUAAUACACUUUUUUUUCUCCUGUAAUCUAGUGUUAAGUGUAAUAAUCUACUACUGUUUUUUAUAACUAUGUUAUUUGCUACAAUAUCUACCAACUUUUUUGGUCAAUAAUACAUUGUUUAUAAGAGUUUAUAUUUAGAUAUAGAAUUCUUAAAUGCCCACCAAACACUACUCAAUAAAUGAAAAGGUUUAGACAGAAUUAAUUUAGGGUGUUUCUUCCUGCACCCCACAUUUUUCUUCCUGCACCCCCACAGUCUUGUGCAAAGAUAAAAUUGCCCUUUAAAAUUUUUGAAAUUACAACAUUACCCUUGAUGUUAUAAAACCCUAAAAACUUAAAAUGAUGCUCAUUUGUGCGUGGUGGCUGGCCGGCUUCUUCAACAGCAGAGGUCUUCUUCAGUGGCAAUCUCUUGCAAUAGCUUCUUCUUCCAAAUCUCAUCCAUCUCACAUUCAUAAAGGUACAUUCAUGUGUUCCGGACUUUGGUAUCCGUUUUUUUUCAUUGGAUUGUUGUUUCCGUAAAUGUUAUUUCACAUUCCAAAUCACAGAAUCCGGAAGCCUUUGGCGGUCUCAGUCUGGUAGUUUACCGGAUUUGUGGAUCCGUUAGUUUCCCGGAUCCGGUAGUAUUCCGGAUUUAGGAAUCCGGUAGUGUUCCGGAUUUAGGAAUCCGGUAGUGUUUCGGAUUUAGGUGAAGUUUAAGUAGAGUCACACCAAAGAAAANNNNNNNNNNNNNNNNNNNNNNNNNNNNNNNNNNNNNNNNNNNNNNNNNNNNNNNNNNNNNNNNNNNNNNNNNNNNNNNNNNNNNNNNNNNNNNNNNNNNAUACUAUUAGAAUUCAGAGCAGUAGUUGUAAAUUCAGGUUUAGGCUGUGAUUUUUAUUAUUACUAUUUAAUUUGUUUUAUUUCUUUUGUGUUCUUUCAUUGGGAUUUCUCUUUUGAUGGAUUUUUGUUUCCACCACCACUUCGAGAUACUGUUCUUGUAUUUCUAUUCUGGGUUUUCACCCACUUCACUUACACAUUAUAUCUAUAGUAUAUGUUGAUAUUCUAUAUUUUCAGUACCGAAAAUCGUUAAACUUUUAUUAAUUAGAUCUGGACCCACAUGACACGAUUGCUUACAAUUUUUUGGAUAUAUAUUUUGUUUUGUCUUUGUAAAAUUAAAAUAAAAUGUAAAUUGGUAACGCUGAUUUAUAAGGUCUGAUCAGUUUUAGGAUGCAUAGUUAAUCUUACACUAAUGGUUUUCAUCUCCUUAGCUCAAAGAAGAUUUUUUUGAACAAUGACUAACANNNNNNNNNNNNNNNNNNNNNNNNNNNNNNNNNNNNNNNNNNNNNNNNNNNNNNNNNNNNNNNNNNNNNNNNNNNNNNNNNNNNNNNNNNNNNNNNNNNNGAUCUGCGUAAACUUUCUACUUGAGCCGUUCUGGGAUCUUCUACGUGGUACCUCAUCCCGAGUACGAAAUACCUACAAAAGUUAUCAUAACAAAUUAUUUACUAAUUAACAAACAACUUAAAAAUACUUUACAAACUUAACUUUACCUCAUCUGUAAUAAACGCAUCUGUACAUUCAUAUCCCUUCGAUUUAGAUAAUGACUUCUCAAUAUCAUCAUCAUCCCACACAUUCACACCAUCAUAUAAUUGUUGUUCAAAUUCUUCACUACUAUCCAUGCUUCUACGAAUAAAAAAAAUAAAACAAAGUUAUUGCAUUCCGGAUCCAUGAAUCCAUAAGUGAAAAAAAUCAUUCCGGAUCCAACAAUCCAUAACUCAAAAAGACUAUUCCGGAUUCAGGAAUCCAUAACACAAAAAAACCAUUCCGGAUUCAUGAAUCCAGAAUGCAUCAUAACACAAAAUACAAUUCCGGAUUCAUAACUCCAUAAUGCAAGUAAAGCAUUCCGGAUUCAUGAAUCCAUAACACAAAAUACUGUACCGGAUCAACCCAUCCGUAAUGAAAUUUUAGCUUCCGGAUUCACAAAUCCGGAGAACAACAUAUUAUUGCAUUUUACUUCCGGAACACCCCCUCAUCCGGAACACAUUAUUUCAUUUAUUCCGGAUUCAUGAAUCCAGAAGGUAUUACCGGAUUCCGAUAUCUGGUAAUCCCGAAAUUUCCAUAACCACCGUGUUUCUUAAAAAAAACCUUUACUCUUACCUCUAUAACCCAGACAACAGUUCGACAACGUUGUGUACUCCUCCGCCUUGCUUCCAACAAUUAUGAAGAACCUCCACAAUACUUGAAACCCAAGGAUGAAGAUGAGCAGUGACUGUGGAAGUGCUGAACGUUGC
rnacentral:lncRNA from 1 species